rnacentral:ncRNA from 1 species
UAGAGUAGGUAAGACGCGUUAAGUGUAAAGGGAUAGGGAGUUGCCCUUUAACGAAAAUUUUAAAUUGCGGUGUCUUAUCGCUUCCGCU